rnacentral:rRNA from 1 species
UACGUAGGUGACCAGCGUUGUCCGGAUUUACUGGGCGUAAAGAGCGCGCAGGCGGUCGUUCAAGUCGAGUGUGAAAGCCCCCGGCUCAACUGGGGAGGGUCAUUCGAUACUGAUCGACUAGAAGGCAGGAGAGGGAAGCGGAAUUCCCGGUGUAGUGGUGAAAUGCGUAGAUAUCGGGAGGAACACCAGUGGCGAAGGCGGCUUCCUGGCCUGUUCUUGACGCUGAGGCGCGAAAGCUAGGGGAGCAAACGGG